GACGAACGCUGGCGGCGUGCUUAACACAUGCAAGUCGAACGGUAAGGCCCUUCGGGGUACACGAGUGGCGAACGGGUGAGUAACACGUGGGUGAUCUGCCCUGCACUUCGGGAUAAGCCUGGGAAACUGGGUCUAAUACCGGAUAGGACCACUGCCUGCAUGGGUGGUGGUGGAAAGCUUUUGCGGUGUGGGAUGGGCCCGCGGCCUAGCAGCUUGUUGGUGGGGUGAUGGCCUACCAAGGCGACGACGGGUAGCCGGCCUGAGAGGGUGACCGGCCACACUGGGACUGAGAUACGGCCCAGACUCCAACGGGAGGCAGCAGUGGGGAGUAUUGCACAACGGGCGCAAGCCUGAUGCAGCGACGCCGCGUGAGGGAUGACGGCCUUCGGGUUGUAAACCUCUUUCAGCACCGACGAAGCGCAAGUGACGGUAGGUGCAGAAGAAGGACCGGCCAACUACGUGCCAGCAGCCGCCGUAA
rnacentral:rRNA from 1 species